GUCUUAGGGACUCGGCGUACCGCUCAGUAACACGUGGGUAACCUGCCCUGUGCUGGGGAAUAACCUCGGGAAACUGAGAAUAAUACCCCAUAGUUCACCACGCCUGGAACGGUGGGUGGAUCAAAGCUCCGGCGGCACAGGAUGGGCCUGCGGCGUAUCAGGUCGUAGGGGGUGUAACGUACCCUCUAGCCAUCGACGCGUACGGGUGUUGGGAGACAUAGCCCGGAGAUGGAUUCUGAGACACGAAUCCAGACCCUACGGGGUGCAGCAGGCGCGAAAACUUGGCAAUGCGAGAAAUCGUGACCAGGGAACUCCAAGUGGCUGGGGUAAGACCCAGUCUUUUCUUGACUCUUCAAAGGUCUUGGAAUAAGAGGUGGGUAAGGACGGUGCCAGCCGCCGCGGUAAUACCGGCGCCUCAAGUGGUAGUCGCUUUUAUUGGGCCUAAAACGUCCGUAGCCGGUCUGGUACAUUCGUGGGUAAAUCAACCCGCUCAACGGGUUGAAUUCUGCGAGCACGGCCAGACUUGGGACCGGGAGAGGUGUGGGGUACUCUCAGGGUAGGGGUAAAAUCCUGUCAUCCUAAGCGGACCACCUGUUGCGAAGGCGCCACACUAGAACGGAUCCGACGGUCAGGGACGAAGCCUAGGGGCACGAACCGGAUUAGAUACCCGGGUAGUCCUAGGUGUAAACGCUGUGGACUUUGUGUCGGGAAUUCUUCGAGGAUUCUCGGUGCCGGAGUGAAGAUGUUAAGUCCACUGCCUGGGGAGUACGGUCGCAAGGCUGAAACUUAAAGGAAUUGGCGGGGGAGCACUGCAACGAGAGGAGCGUGCGGUUUAAUUGGAUUCAACGCCGGAAAACUCACCAUGGCCGACUGUUAGAUGAAGACCAGCGUAAUGAGCUUGUCGGAUUUUCAGAGAGGUGGUGCAUGGCCGUCGUCAGUUCGUACCGUAAGGCGUUCUGUUAAGUCAGAUAACGAACGAGACCCUCAUCUCUAUUUGCUACCCUUCUCUCCGGAGGAGGCGCACCAUAGAGAGACCGCUGGUGCUAAACCAGAGGAAGGCGAGGGCAACGACAGGUCAGUAUGCCCCGAAUGUCAUGGGCUACACG
rnacentral:rRNA from 1 species